rnacentral:lncRNA from 1 species
CUUACUUCAUUUUGAGUAGUGAACAAGCAAGUCAUUACUAAAUUAGAAUAUCCAAGUACAUGAAAUUUAAAUACCAUUCAACUGAAUAUUUUCAGAGCUACUAUUAUAAUUCUAUACACAAUUAAAUUAUUUAAUAACAUACAUAUUAGCAUAAUUUCAAAAUUCAGUAUACAUGUAUUAGCAUAUGCUCCUCUCUAUUCCAUUUUCCUACCUUAAAUCCUCAUUCCGAAACGACUUCAAACCAGUAGUUAACUUUCAAAAUAGAACAUUUAGCUAUUUCUCAUAACAUCUUGCCUCUAUUGUAGCUUAAUCUAUCAAACAGUAACAUAAAAUCAUGGACUCAGUAUUAUGCUAUAAUAUUUAAGUGAUCUACAAAGAAACAAGAGAUCUAACACCACUUACUUUAGCUGACAUGCUUGAUUACAAAAUCGAGCUAAUGAUCAAAUUUCCAUCAAAUUCCUUCUCUUAACAGUUCAAAACUAAAUACAAUAAUAUGAACUCAAAAGAAAACAAAAUUUAGCUACGAGUGCUUUGCUAGAAUCUAACUUCAUAACAAAUGCAAAUUAACUAAAACUCUUAUAUUGAACAUACAAUGCAUCAAUUAAUUUCAAUAUCAUAAAAGACUAAAACUAAAAUAGUGAAUCUGAGCAUGUAAAAGCCAUAUUUAAAAACUCCAGAUUCAUUUCAUGCUUCAAUGUCAAGCCUCAUAAGGGGUGAGUUUAGAAACAUGUACCUGAGGAUAAGGAAAAACAAAGAAGAAUUGAGGAAGCAGUAAUUAACAGCAGCAAAACCAAUUUUGAUCCUUAGCAAUGUAACAAUAACCCCAGAAACUAAACAGCUUCGAACCAAAGCUUUCCAAACCCAACACAGAUGUAAAACCUCAUCAUUUUAGCAGUUUUAAACAAGUAAUCAAGAUCAGAAAACCAAAUACUAGGAAGAUUUUUAGAGGUUUUCCACAAGGAACUACAGGGAAUCCAGGGAUACUUUCAGAUGCUCAGCCGUUUUAAUUUUUCUGAAUUUUUACCUCUUAAAAAUCUGACAUGAAUACCAAGUGAUGGUGCCUUUAUAGGAAACACAUUAGGGAAGCUUGAAGGUAUCAAUUUUUGCGCUUUGCACCUUUUUAUGUUUUGAUUUUUCCUUAGGAGACCUUAAUUUAAAUUUCAGAUUUUCAUAUAAGUCCAUACCCUAGCUUCUAGGAAGCUUCCUUAGUCUAUUACCAAAAUAUUCCCAAAGCUAAUUACCUUGAUUACCCCUUAAAUCCCUGAAAAGUACCUUUCCCCCCAGCCAAAUAUGGGUCAAACUAACCCGACUCAAAUUGGUAUGAGUCCGAGACCCAAGAUGAAUUCCCUCUUGGGCUCUUGAUUUUUCAAAGCCUAAUUCAAACCAAUUAGAAAUUGAUAGUUUUAAGAACUGAUCAAAAUUUCCCAAAAGAAAACCCGAAAACCCUUUAAAAAACAAUCAAAACAAAGAAAAGGGUGAAUGUAAUAAUUAACCUAAACACAUAGCAGGAAAUUAACUAAGUUAUAGGCCUAAUUAAAUUAACUAGGUGAUUAAACAGAAAGACAAAACUAGUGAAUUAUCCAAGCUUUUGACGAAGUUUAACGGACUAAAGAAACCAGAGAAUAUGAUUUCACAAAGAAGAGGAAAAGAAAUAAAAAAGGAACAAAAACAAAUUUGAACUCAGAAAGCUAAAAAAGGGGAAGGAGGAGGAUAAUAAGACAGUGAAAGAAAGCAAAUACAUAAAGAGGGAGAGGAACUUACCAAAUCAAGGCUCAAAACCUAUCGGAGACCAAUGAGUUAACCAAACUAAUGCCGAUCCCUUGUUCUUUGUCAAGAACAACUUAAUGAGAUCAGUUUUUUUUGAGUCCAAACUUCAAAUCUUGAAAGAACAACACUCCAUGAUCGCGCAUGUUACCAGGUCUCAUGAAAAAAUGACUUUGAACUUUUGGGGGUCGAAAUCGAAUUUAAGAUUCAAAGAUCUUGGAGUGGAUUCGAGGAGAAACGAUGAUGGGUUAGGUAUGAUGGGAGGAAGGGGAGUUUGGGAUGUUGAUUUGGAGUGGUUUGGAGGUGGCACCGCCAGUGAUAAGCGGUGGAAACGGAGGGAUGCGGCUCUACGAUUUCUGUUGGUCUCUGAGAGGAGAUGAG